rnacentral:snoRNA from 2 species
UGUCUGUGAUGAUUCUAUCCCGAACCUGAACUCCUGUUGAAAAAAAACACAAACGGAUCUGGCUUCUGAGAU